rnacentral:lncRNA from 1 species
UUGAUAAACACUUAAUUUAAGUAUUUUAAAUUAAAAAAUUAUAUUUAAUUUAUCUUAUUUAUUAAGAAUUUGAUGUUUCUUUCUAUGUUUUACAGGAAAGGUGAUCGCCGAUACAAAGAGUCCGAUUCAUAGAUCAAAAAGACUCAAGUUUGAAGAAAAUUGGACUUAAAAUAAAAUUAAAAUAAAAGAAAGAUGCAUCUNNN